rnacentral:tRNA from 1 species
UCCCUGGCAGUCCAGUGGUUAGGAUUCUGCACUUGCACUGCAGGGGGCCUGGGUUCGAUCCCUGGUCAGGGAA